rnacentral:rRNA from 1 species
UACGUAGGGUGCAAGCGUUAAUCGGAAUUACUGGGCGUAAAGCGUGCGCAGGCGGUUUUGUAAGUCUGUCGUGAAAUCCCCGGGCUUAACCUGGGAACUGCAUUUGUGACUGGCAAGCUAGAGUAUGGCAGAGGGGGGGUAGAAUUCCACGUGUAGCAGUGAAAUGCGUAGAGAUGUGGAGGAAUACCGAUGGCGAAGGCAGCCCCCUGGGCCAAUACUGACGCUCAUGCA